GAAUGGGUACAGGUCAGGUGGUGGCCGUAUCAAACUGAUAAGAACUGUCCGUUCCUGGGGACGUGGGUGGGAAGGAGCCUGGGAUUGGUGCUAGUGAUGUUAGCCUAAACAUCAAGUUUCAGUUCCUCACGAGGAGAAUGUGUGUGUGUACCAGUGGAAUUAAAAUUUAAGAGUAACAAGAAAGAUCCGCUUGGCUUCGGUCCCUUUGUAAUCUUCCUGGAGCCAUCAACCGAGGAAAUGCAGUGGGCUCGCCGGGAAGGUCCCCCCGCCCCGUGGCCUGCUAGGUUAUUGCUACGGCAUCUAGUCUUGCACCUUCCUUGGGUGAUAAGGACGCAGCCCAGAGAGUGGAGGAGCACAUGAACGGCCCGUGGGAUUACCACCUCGGCUCUGAUGACUCUCGGGCCAGGGGUUUUUCUGUUUGUGCCCUGCUGCCUGUCAGUUGGGUGGUUACUUUCCUUCCCUUUGGGGUUAUUAUUUGGUCUCAGCCUUGUGUUCCAGUUCAGAAAAACUUAGAUGCCAAGGUCCAGCGUAGACAUGACUCAGGGCAUCAGAGAGGCAGCUGGCAGCCAAGGGGGAGGUUUGGGGGUAAAUAGUUAUUAUAGGAAAAGCUGGGCACAGAUGGGCUAUUUUAUUCGUCAUUGAAGGAUCGAUCAGUCCAUGUCCUUGCUAAUGGCUCUGCCAUUUUUCUGUGUGUUAAUCCAGGAGGAAUUUUGUUGUCAGAGAAUAAAAGGAGGUUGUCCAUAAUUGACUUUAAGCAGCAAACAGUAAAACACUGAGCUCUUCAGCUCCGCCUUUCUUGCUCUGAGAAUUGGAAAACCAAGAAGGUUUUGAUGUUUUGUGUGGCGCCACCUGAAUUAGAAACCAAGAUGAACAUAACGAAAGGAGGUCUGGUGUUGUUUUCAGCAAAUUCUAACUCCUCGUGUAUGGAGCUUUCAAAGAAAAUUGCUGAGCGGCUGGGGGUGGAGAUGGGCAAAGUGCAGGUUUACCAGGAACCUAACAGAGAAACAAGAGUACAGAUUCAAGAAUCCGUGAGGGGAAAGGAUGUUUUCAUCAUCCAGACUGUCUCAAAGGAUGUAAACACCACCAUCAUGGAGCUCCUGAUUAUGGUGUACGCGUGUAAGACCUCCUGUGCCAAAAGCAUCAUCGGCGUGAUUCCCUACUUUCCUUACAGCAAACAGUGCAAGAUGAGAAAAAGAGGCUCCAUUGUUUCUAAACUGCUGGCUUCGAUGAUGUGCAAAGCGGGUCUAACUCAUCUUAUUACCAUGGAUUUGCACCAGAAGGAAAUUCAAGGCUUUUUCAACAUUCCUGUUGAUAAUUUAAGAGCAUCUCCCUUUUUACUGCAGUAUAUUCAAGAAGAGAUCCCGGACUACAGGAAUGCAGUGAUCGUGGCCAAAUCUCCAGCCUCGGCCAAAAGGGCACAGUCUUUUGCGGAGCGCCUGCGACUGGGAAUUGCGGUGAUUCACGGGGAAGCGCAGGACGCCGAGUCCGACUUGGUGGAUGGACGGCAUUCCCCACCCAUGGUCAGGAGUGUGGCUGCCAUCCACCCCAGCCUGGAGAUCCCCAUGCUAAUUCCUAAAGAAAAGCCCCCAAUCACAGUUGUUGGCGAUGUGGGAGGAAGGAUCGCCAUCAUUGUGGACGACAUCAUCGAUGAUGUUGACAGCUUCCUCGCUGCAGCAGAAACCCUGAAGGAAAGAGGCGCAUACAAGAUCUUUGUGAUGGCGACUCACGGCUUGUUAUCCUCGGAUGCUCCGCGGCUGAUCGAAGAGUCUGCCAUUGACGAGGUGGUGGUUACCAAUACGAUUCCACAUGAAAUCCAGAAGCUCCAGUGCCCCAAAAUUAAAACGGUGGAUAUCAGCAUGAUCCUUUCGGAAGCCAUCCGUCGGAUUCACAAUGGGGAGUCCAUGUCCUACCUUUUCAGAAACAUAGGUUUAGAUGACUGAACAGCUUUCCUUUCUUGAAACUCCCAAGGGCCAAACUGGAGGCGGAGCGUACUGUGAGGGCUCACACCUGGUUUGAUGCACUUCACGGGGGCCGACUAUGCUUUCUUCCUUUCUCUUUGUUAAUUCCUAUGAAGACAGACCAACUUUUUAGGUCGGGUUAGGUGUUCGUGAGUUUUUGGGGCGAUUUUUAUAAGAGAAAAACUAUAUUCUCCUCCUAAAUAAAUUAACCAUCUGGUUGUUUGUAGUUGAACUAUUUCAAAAAUAGCUUGGAAUAUGAUUUUUUUAAGCUCACAGACAGCCUUUUUCCAAAGUUGCUAGAGCCCAAGUGCUUAAACGAGUUAAUGAAAUAAAAUGAUCUACUGUGUGUUACUUGCAGUUGAAAAGCCAAAAAGAUAAUACCAUUAAAUCCAGUAAGUGACAUUUUUAGAAAUGCUUUUAUAGAGAAGCAUAUGUGAGUGAUUAUUACGUGACCGUUAAUUUAUUUUCUGCAAAAAAAGAGGGAAUAAAAACUUACGUUGUGUGUGUGUGUGUGUUUUUUUUUUUUAAACUUUGUGUAUUGGCCAUUGUUUUAUAAUUAAAAUAAAAAGAAAGCUGAAUAUACGUGCCGUGGAUGUUGAAAUGUUCGUCCGCCCGCUCCGUUUUGUCUUCUGCAUCUUGUCGGGGUGAGACAGUGGCCUCUCGGGGAUGUAAUAUUUCCUGUUCUGUUUGUCCAGGACCCGCACAUUUCUGACGUGUAAUGGCUGUGGCAGGAGAGGAACUCGAGUCCCAGGCUGUGAGCCACGGGGGGCAGCUCAAAAAGAAUAAGCUGGCAGAUGUCUACAGGAUGGUGGAAUGGGGAACUCCGAAAGUCCCUUCCUCUGUAAAAAAGAAGAAAUUGGCAGAAACUGUCAGAAUCAACAUUAUUGGGACUCUAGAAAAUAACCAAAAGUUUAUGGCAACCCAGAAAAUUGUUAGUCAAACCAAACCACUCCACCACCACCACCAAACGGCUGAAUCUUGACAAAAUUGCUUUGUGGCACUUUAACUUACCUCUGGUCCCAUUUGUUACCUGCUUCCUGGCAGCCUUGAAGACAGUGGCCUGCAUUCCUGGUAUGUGUUCCUGGUACCAGUGGGAGUAGAAUACUGUUCUCACAGAACCGUGGUUAUUUGUUUGGGCCUGUUUCCUGGCUCCUCGAAGGAUGGCUCAAAGGACUUGCCUUGGUUUUACCCAACUCAGAACUCUUCAGAGCAGAGGGACAGUUGUUGAAAAAGUAUAAAGGCAAAUGUAUUAGCCACCCUUGUCGGGGCAAACAAUGAGACCAUGAAAAGCUUGGAGGAAAGGCUAGAGAAUGAGAUACAUCAGGGGUUGGGGGGAAAAGGACUUUACAAAGGUCCCGUAUGUUCCUGGGGAUAUGAAGGGCACGGGAUUGUACAGGGCUGAGCACGUGCCCGGAAAAGACCCAAGAAAGCCUUAGACUCUUACUUCGGGCUGACCUUCGGGCUCUAUGCAAGCAUGAAGUGUGGGCUAAAUCAGAAUUAUAGUCUGUCUGUCUGAGCGUUGAAGGUGUGGCCCAAGACAGCAGCCCAUCUGCAGAGUGGGUGAUUUUCCUUCCUCCUCCCCUCCCUCCCCUCCCACCUUCCCCUUUCCCCUUCCCCUUCCCCUUCUCUUGUUUUCAGGCAUUUAAGGAAGUCUAUGAUGACUCACCAUUCAGCUGACUGAACAGAGAUUUCAGUUACCAUACAUGACGAUACAGACUUUACAAACAUUAGUUGAGAAACGCCACCAAACAGGCAACUACAAGCAGCAAUAAACCCUGGGGAAGGAGGAGACUCUGAUUCCAGAUUUCCCCUGUUAUAAAAAUGCCCAGUUAUCAACCAAAAAAGUUCUGAGGCAUGGAAACACACAAGGUUGGGCCCAUACACAGGAAAAAAAACUUAGAAGAAACCAUCCUUGAAGAAGUAUACACAUAUUUACUAAAGACUUUAUUUUUUUAUGUAUUUAUUUUGAGAGCGAGAAAGUACGAGUGGGGAAGGGACAGAGAGGAGAAAACGAGACUCCCAAGCGGGGACUCUGUCAGUGCAGAGCCCAACACGGGGCUCGAACUCAUGAAUUGUGAGAUCAUGACCUGAGCUGAAAUCAGGUGCUUAACUGACUGAGCCACCCAGCUGCCCCUUUACUAAAGACUUUAAAUCAAUGAUUUUAAAUACACUCAAAGAGCUCAAGGAAAUCAUGAGAAUGAUGUCUCACCAAAUAGAGCAUAUCAGUAAGAAAUAAUAAAAAAGAAACAGGAUUUGGGGAAGACGGUAGAGUGAGAAGCACCAGGAAUCUGUCUCUCCGCACAGACAUUUUCUGUGGCAAAACCUGUCUGAUGGUUUUAGAACUCUGGAGUCUAUUGAUUUGCAACUUCCAGGGGGGAGUCUUGGACAGGAAAUUGUCGUUACUUUUGGUCCAAUUCAGCUCUUAGUACGGUUGCAGUUACCUUGUCCCCCCCCCCCCCCCCCCCCGGCAGGCAGCUGCAUCUGUAUUCCUGGACCCACCUGCACAAGUUUGUGAGUGUUAGGGUAGGGAAAAAGGACUGUCCUUCCAAUAGUGGGGAUCUGUGCUCUGAUAGCUGACUGCUGCCUCUGGUCGCAGAGGUGCAAGAGGCGAGCAGCCAUUGUGAUUGCACUUCCUUCAUUGGUUGCAAGCCCUCCCCCUCCAGCUGAUGAGAAUUCCAGGACAUUUAAAAGCCAGUACACUUAUUCCCCACCCCCAUUCCCAAUUUUCUCCUUUUCCCCUUUUUGGGAGCCAAAUAGUAAACACUCUAGAGGGUUCAAAAGCAAUUGCAUGUACAGGGAAGAUUAGAAAGUCACUGCACGUGCCCAGAGGAAGUGCAGGCUCAGGAUAGAACCGAAGAGACCCUAAGCUUGUCCCUCAGGUUGAUCCUUGGCACAGAGACAGGCUAUGACAACAACAAAAAAUGUGGUGGUGGUGGUGAUGGUAAUUUAGUAAUAUUGGGAAAUGGAAAGAAGCUAAUUUCCAGGGCUAUCACGUUAUUAUAUUCAAAAGUCCAGCUUUUAAUUGAAAAAAAAAUCAAAGAAUAUGGUUCAUUCAAAGGGGAAAAAUCAACAGAAAUGGUUUCUGAAAAAGACUUGAUGGUAGGUCUACUAGACAGACUUUAAAACAACUGUCUUAAAGAUGCUCAAAGAACUAAAAAAAACAGGUGUGGAGAACAUGAAAAUAAUGUAUGAACAAAAUGGAGAUACCAAUCAACAGAAACCCUAAAAAGAAACCAAAAGAAAUUCUGAAAAGUACAAUAGCUAAAAUGAAAAAUUCACUAGAGGGAUUCAAAGGCAGAUUUGAGCAGGCGGAAGAAAGAAUCCAUGAACUUGAAGAUAAGACAAUGGAACUAAGUCUGAGGAACAGAAAGAAGAGAGAUUGAAGACAAGGAAACACCUGUGUUACCCCAUUAAGUGGCUCAACAUACACAGUGUGGGAGACCUCUUCCAGAAGAAGAGGAAAAGGGGUAGAGAGAAUAUUUGAAUAAAUAAUGGCGGAAAACGUCAACAUUUUAUGAAAGACAUGAAUAUAAACAUCCAAGCUCCAUGAUCUCCAAGUAAGAUAUCAGGGAGACUCACACCAAGACACCUUAUGACCAAACUUUAAAAAGUCAAAGAAUCUUGAAGGCAGCAAGAGAGAAGUGAUGAGUCACAUACAAGGGAUUCUCAGUAAGAUUAUCCGCGGAUUUCUCCUCGGAACUUUGGAGUUCCAUCUGCUCUGCAAGAAAUGCUCAGAGGAGUCCUUAAGGUGAAAUGAAGUCAGUUGAGCAUCCAACUUCGGCUCAGGUCAUGAUCCCCCAAACCGUGGAUUCGAGCCCUGUGUUGGGCUCUGUGUUGACAGCUCGGAGCCUGGAGCCUGCUUCAGAUUCUGUGUCUCCUUCUCUCUCUGCCCCUCCCCUGCUCACACUCUGUCUCUCUGUCUCUCUCUCUCUC